CUGGGGGUGCCCGAAAGGGAACCGGAACACAGGUGCUGCAUGGCUGUCGUCAGCUCGUGUCGUGAGAUGUUGGGUUAAGUCCCGCAACGAGCGCAACCCUUGUCCCUAGUUGCUACGCAAGGGCACUCUAGGGAGACUGCCGGUGACAAACCGGAGGAAGGUGGGGAUGACGUCAAGUCCUCAUGGCCCUUAUGGGUAGGGCUUCACACGCCAUACAAUGGCCGGUACAGAGGGUUGCCAAGCCGCGAGGCGGAGCCAAUCCCCGUAAAAGCCGGUCGUAGUCCGGAUUGCAGUCUGCAACUCGACUGCAUGAAGUCGGAAUCGCUAGUAAUCGCGGAUCAGCAUGUCGCGGUGAAUACGUUCCCGGGUCUUGUACACACCGCCCGUCACACCAUGGGAGUGGGUUCUACCAGAAGUAGGUAGGCUAACCGCAAGGGGGCCGCUUACCACGGUAGGAUUCAUGACUGGGGUGAAGUCGUAACAAGGUAGCCGUAA
rnacentral:rRNA from 1 species